CUGAAAUAUUUAAAGAGCCGCGGUAUCCUGACUGUGCAAAGGUAGCAUAAUCGUUAGUUUUUUAAUUGGAAUCUUGUAUGAAUGGUUGGACAAAAGAAAUACUGUCUCUAUAUUAAAAAUUGAAUUUAACUUUUAAGUGAAAAGGCUUAAAUAUAUUAAAGGGACGAUAAGACCCUAUAAAGCUUAAUAUUAAUAUUUAUUUAGUUAAAUUUAAAAAUUAUAAAAAUUUAGUAAGUAGAUUUAUUUUGUUGGGGCGAUAAAAGUAAAAAGAUUUGUAACUGCUUAAUUGUGGAGACAUAAAAUUUAUGAAUAAAAGUUUAAAUGAUCCUUUAUGAAGAUUAAAAGUUUAAGUUACUUUAGGGAUAACAGCGUUAUUUUUUUUGAGAGUUCUUAUCGAGAAAAAAGUUUGCGACCUCGAUGUUGAAUUAAAAUAUCUGUAUAAUUGUAGUAGUUAUAUAAGAAGGUCUGUUCGACCUUUAAAUUUUUA
rnacentral:rRNA from 1 species